rnacentral:rRNA from 1 species
GACGAACGCUGGCGGCGUGCUUAACACAUGCAAGUCGAACGGAAAGGCCCUGCCUUUGUGGGGUGCUCGAGUGGCGAACGGGUGAGUAACACGUGAGUAACCUGCCCUGGACUUUGGGAUAACUUCAGGAAACUGGGGCUAAUACCGGAUAGGAGCUCCUGCUGCAUGGUGGGGGUUGGAAAGUUUCGGCGGUUGGGGAUGGACUCGCGGCUUAUCAGCUUGUUGGUGGGGUAGUGGCUUACCAAGGCUUUGACGGGUAGCCGGCCUGAGAGGGUGACCGGCCACAUUGGGACUGAGAUACGGCCCAGACUCAUACGGGAGGCAGCAGUGGGGAAUAUUGCACAAUGGGCGGAAGCCUGAUGCAGCAACGCCGCGUGCGGGAUGACGGCCUUCGGGUUGUAAACCGCUUUCGCCUGUGACGAAGCGUGAGUGACGGUAAUGGGUAAAGAAGCACCGGCUAACUACGU